GCCACAUGAUGACAUAUAGAUGCCGCAGCCUCCGGGCCGUGAGGACCUCUCAUCUAUCACCCUAGUCUGAUGGCU